rnacentral:lncRNA from 1 species
GUAGUAGUAGUAGUAGUAGUAGUAGUAGUAGUAGUAGUAGUAGUUUUUGCGAGCCCUUAAUCUGCAUUUUAUGAGCCCUGGCGCUACUUAAAAAGCCCUCAUGCUACUUCACGCGCCCUUAUGCUGCAAUUUGAGCCCUCAUGCUGCAAUUUGAGCCCGUUUGUUGGCAGCAUAAGGGCUCUCUGCGCCCUUAUGUCACGGGCUUUAUUUGUGAAAGUAAUCGAGUUUAUGUUGUGAUUUAGAACUAUAACAUUUAAUAAGUAUGCGUACAUAUAAUAUAGCAUUAUUUAGGAUCUCAAAUCAGACUUUUAUUUGAUUAUGAUAACAUAAAGAUAAUAAUUAUUUAUGGUUUUAUUUCUUAACUAUGUGGUACUUUUUUAUCUGUUUUUAAAUUAAGCCAAUAUUUAAUAAUUUUAUUUAUUUGUCCAAGCAUUAUUAUUAGUAACAUUAACAUGAAACCAUUUUAAAAGCAUUUUAUAUUGAUCAAGAGUGUUUCAACUAAACUUUUUUCAAAUUUUAUUUUAAAUCAUUAUAGGACUUUUAUAUUGUAAAUGGUUCCUGCUUAUCCAAAGCUCCUUCUAAUAUAUUCAAUAUGUUAUAUAAUUUUUUAAAAUACUUUGGAAUAAAAGAGUAUGAUUAAGAAAAUGAUUAGGUUGUUUUCAUCUUCGUUUAAUUAAUUUUAUUUAUUUUUCUAAAACACUUUUAUUUCAGUUUAGUUUCAGUUUAAUUAAAAUGAAUACUUGUUCCAUUUGUCAACUAACCUCAUUUACAAGUUUAUCCUGUGCUUUAUGUACAAAAAUUGUUGGCACCAAAUGUCAAGGUAUUAGAAUCAAUGAAUACAAUGUGUGAAUACAAUGCUGUGUAUAAAACUUGUACAGUUUUUAAAUUGUUUACAAAAGACCAGUUUGAAGAGGUUGCAGUGUCUCCAACUAUUAAAAUGAUUUUUUCUGGAGCAGUAUGUAUUUAAAAAAUGAUUGUAAAAUUUAUAAUUAUCUGUUAGUAAGCAACCGGGAUUGAUACUUGACCACGGCCAGGGCUAGAAUUGAUAAAAUGUAGCCGGAGCACGGUUGUGACUAGGGCUAGGCUUGUGAUGGGGGUUGCAUAAACUUUUAUACAUCCUAAAGUUUUUUUUUUUUUUUUUUUUUUUCAAAAUUCAUGUUAUAUUUUGUAUAUAUAUGCAUAUGUAAACAUCAUUACGAUUAACAUGAUCAUCAUAAUCAUAAGUCCCAUCAUCAUCAUCUGAUCAUCUUCCUAAUCAGCAAAUACUACAUCAUAUAAUUACUAAAGUUUAUAUAAAUAUGAAAGGAUUUUGUGUGCCAUGAUCUAAGUAGUUAGCAAACAUAUAUGUUUAUAUCCAUAAUAUGUAUGAUACUGGAAGCUUUUGUUCCUUCUGAAAUUUUUUUCCUGGAACGUUUUACACCAUCUUGAGCAGUUGCUUUAUUAAACCGUAAUAAUUUUUUUUACAAUAACAUCUCUUUCUUAAGAAAAAAUGUCUUAUUAUUGUUCUAAGAAGCCAAUGUUAAAAAAUCUUGUCUGAUAUUAAACUCUGUUACUCUCUAAAUCUUUUCUCAGAUGUUGGGUUCUUGAGACUUUUAGUUAGUCUUCAACUUUACAAUUUCAUUACCUUUACAUUAACAUUAAAGUAAGUCUAACAUUUAAUCUCUAAUUCAUGGGUCUGGUCUUCUUCACCACAGAAUAAAGCAGAGUUUGCAACAAAUCUUACUCUUAUUUGACUCUUGAAUCUUAUGGCCAUACUAUUCCUGCCAUUUCAACAGAUGAACCCAUUGUUAAACAUUGAAAUCACUCGGGUCCAGUGCUAACUUUAAUUCUCAUAUAAACGCUUCUACAGUUUGUGCUACAGACAAGAUUUCCAUCAUAGUCUUAAAAAAGUUUUCUCUAGAACUCUCUUCAAUUUUUGCUAAACUUUUUAAAAGUGCUAAACAAGUGGUUCCAAUUUUUCAAAACUCUAGAAAACACUCUGACCUCUCUAAUUUUCCUAUGAUUAGUCUUCACUAUGUUAUUAGUUUAUUUAUAUAAAGGUUUUGAAUUUAUUAACUUCAAACUGAAGUAUUAAAGUUAUUCUACACUCUUCUAUAUUUCAAUUAACUUUAAGGGUACCAAAAUUUUACAUCUAAAGUGGCUCUAUUUGCUUACAACUCAACUUUAUACUCUUGUUUUGACAAAAAAAAACUUUCACGUUUUGAUUGCUUAGAAUAAGCAGCAGGUUUUUAAUCUGAUUUCUCUUCUGUAACAUCCUUUUGCUAUAAGGCAAUUAGAUUUACAUUCUUGACUUAAAAUUCCAAUUUUUGUUAGACAACAAAACUCAUUUACUGCAAAAAAAAAUUGCAAUAAUAUUGGCAUUAUGUUGAUGAAUAUAUAUACCUGCCACUAUAUUGAUGAAUAACAAUCCUCUUACUCUCAGACAAAGUCUAAUAGUAAAUUGUAAAUGUAAGUAGACCUGUUUUUUCUGCCAAGCUUGAGCCACUCUCCCAUUGUUGUAAGAUUGCAUUUCUUUCUUUUUUCUGCAAAUACUAUCAUGGUCAAUGCUCAAAUAAGCUAUCAUCUCUAUUACUAUAAACCAAAACUCAUUCUUGCUUGGCUUCUUAUUCAAUAAGUUACAUCUUUUUACUGUAUUUGUCCUUUCAUGCUAUAAAAACUUUUAUUAAUCCAGUUUUUUUCCUUGCAUAUAAAAAACAACUUAUAACUCUUACCCAUCUUCAUGUUUUCCUUUUUUAUACAACCUACAACUUUUUAAAUAUUCAGUUAACCGUUUUCUAGUAUUUUAACUUAUUAUUUAUUCUAAAGUAACUCAUAACUUAAUAGUGGUUGCCUGCAAUCUUGUUGGAAGUAAAUUAGAGUUUAAAAAUAUAUAAAUAUAUGCCAGUGUUUAAUGAAUAAUAAAUGUAAGCAUAAAAUUAUAAUAUGUUUUUUUAGGUCCAGCUAUAAACCCCUGGUAAACCUUAUAAUUUUGCCAGAACCAGGUAUGCAAAAAGUUUCAUUUUUAGAAGGGACAGGGCUGAAGCCCUAGUCACUUACUAUAUCUGUUAACAGUUUUCAAAUUCCACUUUUUUGUACAUAUUUUUGUUACACACUCUCAUUAUUAUGAUGUUAUUUUCUUUUUAAUUACACAGUUUCACACACAACAUUUACAAAGCUAGUGGUUCUAUAAAAAAUUAAGGAAAGAAUAAAUUUUAGAGUUGUCAUCGGCU